GUGUGUGUGUUUCAGUGGUUGAACACUUGCCUAUUGCAAAGGAAACCCUGGGUUCCAUUCCCAGCAAAGGCA
rnacentral:tRNA from 1 species